AGUUUAAAAUUUUUUUUUUUCAAUAGUUCAGACUUAAUUACAUACGUCAAAAAUAUAUUUCCUUUUUGUCUUUCUGGUAUCACAUGUUAAUUAAUAUACUCACAAUUAGUGACAAUUUCGAAUACUUGACACUUUUUUUGUAAAAAAAACAAUUGUUUUUUUUUUUGUUGAGAUAUCACAUCUUUUUGUAAAGUAAACAAUUUAUUUAUGCUAUCAAAUUAGUUUAGAGGUUAUGUCAUGCAUACAAACAAAUAAUAACAUACUGCAGUGCAACCAAAAUAUAAACACUAAAAAAAAGAGAAGAGAAGUAAUUGUAAAGUUUUCCAACUGAACGGAAGAAAUCUGGUCGAUUUGAUAAAAACGCAGACCAUAUGUAAGCACAUACUCGUUUUUCUUCAGUCUUAACUACUGAAGUAUCAGUAUCUGGCUCUGAAUCACUUGAAGUAAAAUCUGCUGACCCAUCGAGAGAAGGUGACAAUCGUUGCAGCAUAACUUUUGGCUUUUGGAGCUGAGUGAAUGCAGUUCUUGUAAUUUUAGGAUUCCAACCAGAAAAUCUUGGUUCUAAUGGAUCCAGCCUAUUGCUUAUAAAAAAACUUUCUUGGCUUAUUUUUUUGCAGAGUUUAUCAGAGUCCGUUAGAUCUGAAGAUACUUUCAAAAGACACUUUGAAUCACCACGAUAAUCGUAAAUAUUGUUUAAAUAACUUUUUUUCUCAUAAGUAUCAAUCUGAAUAGUUUUG